CUGACGCCGCACUUCUCAAGCUCCUGUGUGUAUGUUCAACGAGGCUGCUCUUUGUUGCACUAAAGAUGAGUUUUAUUUUGUGCUGAUCUUGCUCUUCUUUUUUUUUUUUUACAAUGACAACAGUGAGAAUGAUCACGUAUUUUGGGUGUCUAGAAUUAUCAUAAUCUGCAUGUUAAUCUUUUUAGAUAAAUUUUGCAAAUAUUGUUAGGGUAUUAGAAAAAGAAAAUUUCUUGACAAGUUUGUAACCAUGCUGGUUUCCAUUGUAGCAAGGCAACCUAGUCUACAUAAUUUAUUAUUGUGCUUUCAAGCUGUGGAAUAGCAUUUGAGAGUGUAGGAGAUACCUUCCAUUGCUAAUAGGAUUAAUGAAGUAACAAGGGGCCUAACUCAAUUGGUUAAACAUGGUGUGAGUGUUGUAAACUUCCCAGUACCGUGUUCAAUUCAUAGGAUAGAAAAAUAGGAUGAAUGGAGUGGUAGCUGGUUAGAGUAGAGUUUUUCCUUAUUGCCUCAAUAUUAGUGGAAAACAAAAAAAAAGUGUUGGACAUUUUGCUAGGAAAAUGUCUGAUACAGCAGCCAUGGUUUGCUAAAUAUGAAAACGAUUUAUUGUAGUGAUCCUGCCUAAUGUAAUUUUUUGGAAGAGUAGAAUGUUCAUAAUCUGUAUUUGUUGAUGUUUUUUUUUACUGAACCUCAAUUGAGAUUUGAGCCACAUUGUGUGGAUUUGAAAGAAAUAGGUAGGAUAUGUUGAGACCUUUAACAGUUGGUUUAUAAUGCAGGCUCUGUCUGAAUCAAAAUUUCUAGGUACCAUCUUCUCAUUUUUGUCUAAGGAACUUGUGAAAGGGUAGCCUGUUGGUGCUUUUGUAGUUCUCUUCCCUAUUGCCACACAAGUAUCGAGAAUUUGACCAAUAUAGGUAUUUUUUUAAAACUAAAUAUCACUUUGGAGUGGUUUUCAAACAAUUUAUCAGACCGAGUGAUUCCUGUCAUGUAGAAAAUUGAUGGUGUCAGUCAACUCAGCUCCAGCUGGUGGCACCACUCCGAAGAAUUUCAUAUGUGUGAAUGACUUGGUGAUACCAUUCUAGGUGACUUCACCCAGUCAAACACGUUUCACCCAAAGUUGUAUUUAGUUUAAAAAUACCUCUAUAGUCUAUUCUCCACAGAAUAUGAGAUCUCCCGCCAUAUUUAUCCUUGACAAUGCUUCUCUGAAAAAGGGUCUUGUUAAGAAGAAAUGGAAAAUUCUAAACUCAGAUGAGGACGCAUAGUUUCUAAUGAAGCAAAAGAAGAAUCUAAAUGAUUAUCGGCCAGACAUAAUUCACGAGGCUCUCCGUUGCAUUCUAGAUAGCCCUCUUAAUAAAGCUGGCAUGGUAGGGGCAAUAUACGUUAAAAUGGAUCAACGAGGAGUGUUUGAAGUCAAACCACAUGUUCGUAUACCAAGAACGUGUAAUCGAUUCUGUGGUGUCAUAAGUAAACUUUCUUAUCAUUUUCUUCUUCCUUUUUUUCUUUUCUAUUUCCAACUAUUGUUUGUAGUUUGAGUAAUAUCUUCAUGCAUAUUGAAACUUAUGCUGUACUAUAGUAGAAUUGCUUCAAAAAACUGUGGUGUCAUAAGUUCUUCUUCGUGUUGUUGAGGAACCUAUAACACGCCAUUUGCCUGUCAACUCUCACAUAGUAGGUCUCUCUUAUACUUCAGAAAAGUUGGUUGACAUAGAGGAAUAUGUCUCAGUUUGGAGCAAUGAUUUGAGUCCUGUUUUUGUGGUAGGCACAAUGGUGAAUGGGAAAGUAAAAGGGGACUAUAUGCAUGAUUAUAUUUCAAGUUUAAGUUCUGAAAAAUGUGUUUUUAUUUUUUUUAUCGUAGAAUAUUAGAAAUCAAUUCCUUGAUGGUAUUUUGAUUAUGCUACUUGGAAUAUAAAUGAGAGAGAGAGAGAGAGGGAAUUUAGGGAUUGCCCUUCAAGGUUUAUCCCAGCGUGUCCAUGACCAAAGCCGAAUACAUUUACAUA